rnacentral:antisense_RNA from 1 species
CCCAUGUCUGUGUUGAACAAUGCGUCUGUG